CGUAGGAUGAACGCUGGCGGCGUGCUUAACACAUGCAAGUCGAACGAUGAUGCCAGCUUGCUGGUGGAUUAGUGGCGAACGGGUGAGUAACACGUGAGUAACCUGCCMUUAACUCUGGGAUAAGCCUGGGAAACUGGGUCUAAUACCGGAUAUGACCUUCCAUCGCAUGGUGGUUGGUGGAAAGCUUUUUGUGGUUUUGGAUGGACUCGCGGCCUAUCAGCUUGUUGGUGAGGUAAUGGCUUACCAAGGCGACGACGGGUAGCCGGCCUGAGAGGGUGACCGGCCACACUGGGACUGAGACACGGCCCAGACUCNUACGGGAGGCAGCAGUGGGGAAUAUUGCACAAUGGGCGCAAGCCUGAUGCAGCGACGCCGCGUGAGGGAUGACGGCCUUCGGGUUGUAAACCUCUUUCAGUAGGGAAGAAGCGAAAGUGACGGUACCUGCAGAAGAAGCGCCGGCUAACUACGUGCCAGCAGCCGCGGUAAUACGUAGGGCGCAAGCGUUAUCCGGAAUUAUUGGGCGUAAAGAGCUCGUAGGCGGUUUGUCGCGUCUGCCGUGAAAGUCCGGGGCUCAACUCCGGAUCUGCGGUGGGUACGGGCAGACUAGAGUGAUGUAGGGGAGAACUGGAAUUCCUGGUGUAGCGGUGAAAUGCGCAGAUAUCAGGAGGAACACCGAUGGCGAAGGCAGGUCUCUGGGCAUUAACUGACGCUGAGGAGCGAAAGCAUGGGGAGCGAACAGGAUUAGAUACCCUGGUAGUCCAUGCCGUAAACGUUGGGCACUAGGUGUGGGGGACAUUCCACGUUUUCCGCGCCGUAGCUAACGCAUUAAGUGCCCCGCCUGGGGAGUACGGCCGCAAGGCUAAAACUACAGAGAGGUAAUUGAGCGGGGGCCCGCACAAGCGGCGGAGUCAUGCGGAUUAAUUACGAUGCAACGCGAAGCAACCUUACCAAGGNUUGAUCAUGAAGCCGGUAACGCCUGGAGAGCAGUGCCCCGCUGCGUCGUACCAGG
rnacentral:rRNA from 1 species